rnacentral:rRNA from 1 species
UACAGAGGGGGCAAGCGUUGUUCGGAAUUACUGGGCGUAAAGGGCGCGUAGGCGGCCUGCUAAGUCGAACGUGAAAUCCCCGAGCUCAACUCGGGAACUGCGUCCGAUACUGACAGGCUUGAAUCCGGGAGAGGGAUGCGGAAUUCCAGGUGUAGCGGUGAAAUGCGUAGAUAUCUGGAGGAACACCGGUGGCGAAGGCGUCAUCCUGGACCGGCAUUGACGCUGAGGCGCGAAAGCGUGGGGAGCAAACAGG